CCUGAUGCAGCGACGCCGCGUGGAGGAAGAAGGUCUUCGGAUUGUAAACUCCUGUUGUUGAGGAAGAUAAUGACGGUACUCAACAAGGAAGUGACGGCUAACUACGUGCCAGCAGCCGCGGUAAAACGUAGGUCACAAGCGUUGUCCGGAAUUACUGGGUGUAAAGGGAGCGCAGGCGGGAAGACAAGUUGGAAGUGAAAUCUAUGGGCUCAACCCAUAAACUGCUUUCAAAACUGUUUUUCUUGAGUAGUGCAGAGGUAGGCGGAAUUCCCGGUGUAGCGGUGGAAUGCGUAGAUAUCGGGAGGAACACCAGUGGCGAAGGCGGCCUACUGGGCACCAACUGACGCUGAGGCUCGAAAGUGUGGGUAGCAAACAGGAUUAGAUACCCUGGUAGUCCACACCGUAAACGAUGAUUACUAGGUGUUGGAGGAUUGACCCCUUCAGUGCCGCAGUUAACACAAUAAGUAAUCCACCUGGGGAGUACGACCGCAAGGUUGAAACUCAAAGGAAUUGACGGGGGCCCGCACAAGCAGUGGAGUAUGUGGUUUAAUUCGACGCAACGCGAAGAACCUUACCAAGUCUUGACAUCCUGCGACGAUGCUGGAAACAGUAUUUUCCUUCGGGACGCAGAGACAGGUGGUGCAUGGUUGUCGUCAGCUCGUGUCGUGAGAUGUUGGGUUAAGUCCCGCAACGAGCGCAACCCUUACUGUCAGUUACUACGCAAGAGGACUCUGGCAGGACUGCCGUUGACAAAACGGAGGAAGGUGGGGAUGACGUCAAAUCAUCAUGCCCUUUAUGACUUGGGCUACACACGUACUACAAUGGCGUUAAACAAAGAGAAGCAAGACCGCGAGGUGGAGCAAAACUCAGAAACAACGUCCCAGUUCGGACUGCAGGCUGCAACUCGCCUGCACGAAGUCGGAAUUGCUAGUAAUCGUGGAUCAGCAUGCCACGGUGAAUACGUUCCCGGGCCUUGUACACACCGCCCGUCACACCAUGAGAGCCGGGGGGACCCGAAGUCGGUAGUCUAACCGCAAGGAGGACGCCGCCGAAGGUAAAACUGGUGAUUGGGGUGAAGUCGUAACAAGGUAGCCGUAGGAGAACCUGCGGCUG
rnacentral:rRNA from 1 species